rnacentral:piRNA from 1 species
CGAUCGGUCGGGUCGGUUGUCUG